rnacentral:lncRNA from 1 species
AGGUACCCCUGAGGUCUAACUCUGGAACUCCUUGGAUAAUGAGAAAAGGGGGGCUUCGGAACCCAGGAUGUGGGUUCCACAUCCUGCGGGGGCAGGGAGGCCGCGCGGGAGGCCGCCAGACGCAGUAAAUAAUUCACACAGAUGAACUGGAGAUAAGGGCGGCUUCGUGGAGGAUCGAGUUCAGGCAGACUUUAUAAACCAGAGCAGCUGCCUGAAGGUUUCCAAGAAAAAAAUUCUGCACAGUUUCUAACCAGGGUGACAGUUCCCCUCCACAGGAAGUUACUUUUAUUAAUUUUUGUAUCUCUUCUUUUGUAAGACUAUCUGUCGGUCAUCAGGCAGCACCUGUGGGCAUUUUCUUAUUUUUUCCCCCCCACUGCUCCCAUUUGCCUGGAAUUCAUUAUUAAAUCUAACUCACAGUGGCCUUGCCCAACACAGGGGCGAAGUUCGAACUACUGAAAAAUGGGUCACUCAAAUCGCCUGUGCAGAAGAAUCCCAAAUAAUUUAUGGAGAUACUCCUCCCUCAAGGCGGUGAAACAUAAAUCCCUGUCCCUGAAGUGUGGGCUGUGCAUAAUGAUUUCCUUCUAUGGAGUAUAGUAUGGAAAGCAGGGGGAAAGAGUAAUCUUGCAGGAGAGAAACCUGACAAGCACUAGCUCAGCCAGAUGGCCAAGGUCAACAUCAGCAGUGAUCAGUCGUGUCUAUAGCGUGGACAGUUGAUAUCAUGUGAUGGAAACAGCACAUCACCCCCAAACCCAUAACCACAGUUUAACCAUGAGAAAAUAGCAGACAGACCCCACCUGAGGGACAGUCUACAAAGUACGUGACCAAUAGUCCAUCAAAAACAAGGAAAGUCUGAGAAACUACCACAGCCAAGAGCAGCCUAGGGAAAUAAGAUGGCUGCAUGCAAUGUGAGAGACCCUGUGGAACAGAGAAAGAAUGGGGGGUAAAAACUAAUAAAAUCCAAAUAAACUACAGAGUUUAGUUAACAAUAA